AUUGAACGCUGGCGGCAGGCCUAACACAUGCAAGUCGAGCGGAUGAAGGGAGCUUGCUCCUGGAUUCAGCGGCGGACGGGUGAGUAAUGCCUAGGAAUCUGCCUGGUUGUGGGGGAUAACGUCCGGAAACGGGCGCUAAUACCGCACACGUCCUGAGGGAGAAAGUGGGGGAUCUUCGGAUCUCACGCUAUCAGAUGAGCCUAGGUCGGAUUAGCUAGUUGGUGGGUUAAAGGCCUACCAAGGCGACGAUCCGUAACUGGUCUGAGAGGAUGAUCAGUCACACUGGAACUGAGACACGGUCCAGACUCCUACGGGAGGCAGCAGUGGGGAAUAUUGGACAAUGGGCGAAAGCCUGAUCCAGCCAUGCCGCGUGUGUGAAGAAGGUCUUCGGAUUGUAAAGCACUUUAAGUUGGGAGGAAGGGCAGUAAGUUAAUACCUUGCUGUUUUGACGUUACCAACAGAAUAAGCACCGGCUAACUUCGUG
rnacentral:rRNA from 1 species